AUUGAACGCUGGCGGCAGGCCUAACACAUGCAAGUCGAGCGGAUGAAGGGAGCUUGCUCCUGGAUUCAGCGGCGGACGGGUGAGUAAUGCCUAGGAAUCUGCCUGGUAGUGGGGGAUAACGUCCGGAAACGGGCGCUAAUACCGCAUACGUCCCGAGGGAGAAAGUGGGGGAUCUUCGGACCUCACGCUAUCAGAUGAGCCUAGGUCGGAUUAGCUAGUUGGUGGGGUAAAGGCCUACCAAGGCGACGAUCCGUAACUGGUCUGAGAGGAUGAUCAGUCACACUGGAACUGAGACACGGUCCAGACUCCUACGGGAGGCAGCAGUGGGGAAUAUUGGACAAUGGGCGAAAGCCUGAUCCAGCCAUGCCGCGUGUGUGAAGAAGGUCUUCGGAUUGUAAAGCACUUUAAGUUGGGAGGAAGGGCAGUAAGUUAAUACCUUGCUGUUUUGACGGUACCAACAGAAUAAGCACCGGCUAACUUCGUG
rnacentral:rRNA from 1 species